GUUAUAUUCAGCUCUCAGGCAGGCAGACGGUGCCAGAUUUUUGAAAGCCACCGAGUGAGUAGAUAUCCAGCGUUCUUCCUGACCUGACCACGAUCACGAACACAUUUUUGACCCUUGGAUUUUCCUGCCUUGCCUUGCCCACGUCGGAUUCUUCACUGGCUUCUGUUUUCUGGUCUCGACCCUGUUUCUGCCUUUUGACCUCUGCCUCCUGCCUCGCCCUUGGAUAUUGUCUGCCUGAGAUUGCCUGCUAGUACUGGACCCUUUUUCCGUGACCUGACCACUGCUCUUCGCCCAACCCUCAGAUACGUUUGUCUGGUCCUGCCUGUCCUAAACCCUGUGCCUCCCAGUCCUGUCCUUCCCUAGGUGUGCCACUUGUCUCUUCCACUGUGCUACCUGGAUCCCUCAUCCCCCACAACACCAGGAAGAGGUUCCUGUUCCUUGCUCGUGGUUCCCCGUCCCUAUACCUGGUCCUCAAUAAAGACCUUAUUGAUUUUUA